rnacentral:rRNA from 1 species
CCAUAACAUAAGUUAGUAAGACUCCUGGAAGAACACCAGGUUGAUAGGUGAGAGGUGUAAGCAUGGUAACAUGUUCAGCUGACUCAUACUAAUAAGUCGAGGGCUUGACCUAAUU